rnacentral:snRNA from 1 species
ACUUUUACCUGGCAGGGGAGAUACCAUGAUCAUCAAAGUGGUUUUCCCAGGGUGAGGUUCAUCUAUUGCAGUGGUCCCCAACCUUGGGCCUCCAGAUGUUCUUAGACUACAACUCCCAGAAGCCUUCACCACCACCUCUGCUGGCCAGGAUUUCUGGGAGUUGAAGUCCAAG